CCCGGCUGGGCUUCGUCGUCUCCUCCCACGGCUAGCGAGUAAAGAAGCGUCGCAGGAGUUCGGUGCAGUGUAGUCGCACGAAUAGAGUUCGUGGCCGCACGCUGCCCCGUCUCCGUUGGCUCGAUGCAAGGCUCGCGGGAGUGAUUGACGGUUUGCGGCGAGUAGAUCGGUCACCCACCCGACCCGUCUUGAAACACGGAUCAAGGAGUUU
rnacentral:rRNA from 1 species